GGUAUUUGUACUGAACUGCCAUGUACAUUACAGCCAUGGAAAGCAGCAUAACAAGAUUUGAUCCUAUUGAAUCUUCAACGACGCCUCAUAAAAAAAGAAAGCAUGAUGAAACAUUAGAGAGUACAAGUAUGACACACAUUGAUGAUGAAAUUACAGACCCAACAUUUGUUCCUGAAGAUGCCUUCAUGAACGCAAGCAACAUCGACCUUUUUCCAGGGUACAAUACUUUGCAUAUAUUUACCAAUGUACAGUUAUUAACACUAGUGAAUUUUUUCUGAUUAAAUUAAGCUUUACAAUAUUAGUGACAACACAUCUUUUAAAGAUGCUGGCCCAAUUCAAGAAGAAAAGUUCAUUGUGUUUAAUAGUAAUCUCAUGGAAUUGUUUGCCACCUGCCCGUUAUGCACUGGAGAAUGUCAAUCUGCAAUUAAAAAUAGAUGAGGAUCCUUUAUUGAAGUGGACACAUCUUUUAAAGCCACAUUAAACAGUAGGGAUGUGAUUAGAAACACAAUUUAUGACUAAAUAAAUAAUUCAUUUGCUUAGAUUUUGCAGUUUUAAAGUAUAUUGGCUACUUGAGAAGUAUUUAGGCUGCAUAAAAUUGUGAUAUUUGAAUUCAGUAACUUACUAGCCUAUGGUAUAGUCGAUGUAUUUUAAGAUAAGGUAAAUACAGAGUGUAUAUAGCCUGAAUAACCAUUCGAAAUUUUACCAUGUGAUACGCCAGAUAAAUACUCCUAAGAGUCUUUAAACAUUUAAAAAAAUAAUUGUUAAAAUGCCAGAUAUUUGCUCGUUCUUGGAUGUGGAAAUGCAAAAUCAGAUACUUCGUGAAAUUUCACCUCUGCCAAUACCAUAUACGGAUGAUGAACCAUCUCCAAGUAUAGAGAGUGAGGCCCCAGGUAUAUUGAGGCAUAUACACAAGUUUCACCAAUAAAGGUUGUGCAUGCCAAAACACAAGCAUAUGUGUCAUUUCGCACGAAAGGAAUUCAAGUUGCACCAGAUGUUUGUAAUGCAGAAGCUUCAAAUUUGAACGAUUUCCAAGACAAUUCUGAUCUCAUGAACCAAAACACUCCCAGUCCAAUGAAACGACGGCGAUUGACUGUGGAUUUAAAAGAUCACGAUUUCAAUCCUACCGCCUCUGCGACAACAUCUAAUCAACCUCAACCACUGUAAGUAAUAUAAUUCUGUUUUUUAUUUUUAGAUUUCUUUGAGUUUCAAUUGUAUAUUUUUAUUUUAUGUCCAACAGUGAUGUCCUCCAUGAAAAAAGUGCAUCACAUUUAUGUCAAAUUUGCUCCCAUUGUUCACAACAUGCAAGGCUUGUUUGUUACCAUGUCCCGGUUUUGUUGAUGUUGAGUCUGGAAGCUUUGUGCGAGUCAUUCAGAAGUGUAUGUGGGAGCGUGUUUGGCAGAACCAACCACUGGUACGCAAAACACCUGUGUUAAAUCUACUGGUGCCCACAGCAAUGAUUGCAAAUGCACACCAUAUACCAAAACCAUCAAAAUGUUUCCAGUCUCUGAACAUAUGUAUGGUUAGUUCUCAAACUUGUGCCAAGCACUUCCGUGAUACAGUGAUUUAUCGGAUGUACACGCAACAACAGAAGAUGAUAUUGGAUUCUUUGAAAAAUCUGGAAGGAGGUUUUAUUGUUGGUGGUGAUGGUAGAUGCGAUAGCCCCGGUCACAAUGGGAUUCUUUAAAAAAUCUGGAAGGAGGUUUUAUUGUUGGUGGUGAUGGUAGAUGCGAUAGCCCCGGUCACAAUGCAAACUAUGGCACAUAAAAUAAGAUCAUAGAGCUUGAUCUCAUUCAGGUAUGAGAGUUAAUCAUACCAAUACCACACAUGUGAACUGUAAGUAUGUAAUAUAUUUUCUAUUCCAAUAAAACAUCCGCAGUAAUGCUAUAUGGAGAAGGCCGGUUUUCAACGAUGUGUUAUAGAGUUGGGCGGAAUUUAAGGUUAUAACAGAUCGACACUUACAAAUUGCCAAAUUUGUGAGAGAAGAAAUGCCCACAACAUUACAUCAGAUCGAUGUAUGGCAUGUGGCAAAAGGUUUUAGUAUAAAUAUCAUAAUGACUGUUGAGCAUAUGUUAACAAGUUAGUAUAUUAUUAAGCCAAGCUCUACAAUAUUCCUGGUCAGGAUUAGUCACUGGGCGAAAACCAACAAAGAAAAGCUUCAAGGUUCGUUCUUCUGUAACUACUAAGCUCACGAUCAACGUUUGGCAUAUAAUACGUUUAUUGGUUCAGCAUGUGGAAACUCACACUGAACUCAACGAAAUGAUAAAGUACUUUAGGGUUGGUUUACAAUGACCACUUUUGAAAUUGUUAAGAGUAUAUUAAGCUAAGCUUGACAGUUUGUAGACAUUUUAACAAGUCGCUCGCCAAGUAAACCGAAAUUCACAAAGAGCCAGUCCUUCUUUAUCUGACUUUUUAUGAAGAAAUUGCUUGCUCCACAAUAUUCCCUGGUCAUGAUUAGUCACUGGGCGAAAACCAACAAAGAAAAGCUUCAAGGAUCACAAUCUGUUUACCAUUUUCCAAGGUAAACUAGGUUGUUUUAUGAACAGUAGUAUAUAAACCUUAUGGUUGGUGCAUGUGAUUGCGGCAACCA